AAUCAACGCUGGCGGCGUGCCUCAGACAUGCAAGUCGAACGAGAAAGUUCCCUUCGGGGAAUGAGUAAAGUGGCGCACGGGUGAGUAACACGUAGGUAAUCUACCUUCGGGUGGGGAAUAACCCAGGGAAACUUGGGCUAACACCGCAUAAUGCAGCGGCACCACAUGGUGACAGUUGUUAAAGCGGGGGAUUUUAGGACCUCGCGCCUGAAGAGGAGCCUGCGGCGGAUUAGCAGUUGGUAAGGUAACGGCUUACCAAGGCGACGAUCCGUAACCGGGCCUGAGAGGGCGGGUCGGUCACACUGACACUGACAUACGGGUCAGACUCCUACGGGAGGCAGCAGUCGGGAAUUUUGGGCGAAUGGGCGAAAGCCUGACCCAGCAACGCCGCGUGAAGGAUGAAAUA
rnacentral:rRNA from 1 species